CGCUCAUCCCUCAGCCCACGCACGCGCCGCCGUAGUUCGGUCUUCCGUCUCCCGACCUGGCGACCCGCCGCACCGCUGGCCGCCGACCGUCGGCGCCGCCCACCGCCGCCUGCGAGGCUGUGCCUCCACCCCACGCCGCGUUGUCUCCCUCCCUCGAUCCUCGACUGCUACGUCCCACCGGGCGUCGGCCCCUGCUUGGGCGCACCGCUCGUCCGGUACUCCGGUCCCGCCGCCCGUCGGGGCCCCGCGGCGUCACGCGGUCGCGCCCCUCCACUGCUGCACGCUAGCCUGUAGUCGCCUCCCGCCUGGCCGAGGGCCACCCCAACGUGUCCACGCUCGUGUUUGGUACUGCUGGUCCGUAUUUCUCUCUCACUAUAUUCCAUAAUUCCAUUCAGUACCGAUUCCAUUUGUAUUGUUUCUUUAUUCAGACGUUGAGUGGUUAAUUGAGUAAUUGGUGCAUCCAUUUGUAUUGCUGUUGCGUAUUCCUGAUCCUUAAAUUGGCAUUGAUUCUACCGGUGGCAACUACAACUGUGGAAAGAGUAUUUUCUAGGUUGAAUCUUUUACUCUAGGUUGAGUCUAGUAAAGAAUUAAAUUCGAAAUCGCAUGGAUGAUAAGUUAUAUUGAAUGAUUGUUGGUCACUUUUAUUGAGCGUGAAAUUUUCUGUAAUAUAAGUGAGGAUGACAUAAUUCACACUUUCAUGCCCAUGAGGAAGCCUAAAGCAAAAGCAUUAGAUUAGACUAGUAUUGUCAUCUUCUAUUUAUGUAGAAGUAAGAUCUUAUUGAUGUUGCAACCUUUGAUAUUGUAAAUUAUUCUAAUUGUGAACUAAAUUAUUGAAUCAAAUGUAUUAUAGGAUCUUUUACUUAUGUUGUUAUUGUAAAUUUGAUCAUUAUACCAUAUUAUUGCCCAAGUGCUAUUAGAUGUCGUCCUCGGGGACGGCCACUCAGCAUCUGCCGCGGACGGAGGCGCGGUCACUGUCGGGGCACGAGGGGGCGGUGCUCGCGGUGCGCUUCAACCGCGAUGGCAACUACUGCCUGAGCUGCGGCAAGGACCGCACCCUCUGUCUCUGGAACCCGCACACCGGCGCCCACGUCAAGACCUACAAGUCCCACGCACGCGAGGUCCGCGACGUCCACUCCUCCUCGGAUAACGCGAAGCUGGUGUCCUGUGGCGCCGACAGGCAGAUUUUCUACUGGGACGUUGCCUCGGGCCGCGUCAUCCGCAAGUUCCGUGGUCACAACAGUGAGGUCAAUUCAGUAAAGUUUAAUGAGUACAAUGCUGUUGUAGUCUCAGCUGGUUAUGACCGUACAGUGCGCGCAUUUGACUGCAGGUCACAAAGCAGUGAUCCAAUUCAGACUAUUGAUACUUUUCAAGAUAGUGUAAUGUCAGUUAACCUAACAAAGACUGAAAUAAUUGCGGGCAGUGUUGACGGUACUGUUCGUACAUUUGACAUUCGCAUGGGUAGGGAGACUGUUGAUAAUCUGGGGCAUCCUGUGAACUGUAUAUCAUUAUCAAAUGACAACAAUUGCCUUUUAGCUAACUGUUUAGAUUCUACUGUGAGGCUUCUAGACAAGUCAUCAGGAGAACUGUUGCAGGAGUACAAGGGGCAUGCGUGCAAGUCCUUCAAGAUGGAUUGCUGCCUGACGAAUGAUGAUGCAUUUGUUGUUGGUGGAUCUGAGGAUGGCUAUGUUUUCUUCUGGGAGUUAGUGGAUGCACCUGUUGUUGCAAGAUUCAGGGCACAUAGUUCUGUGGUAACCAGCAUCAGUUACCACCCAACAAAGGCGUGCAUGUUGACAUCUUCUGUGGAUGGUUCUAUACGUGUUUGGACCUAAGACCAGUUGUUGACGUGUCACAUAUAUUGUUCCUCCAAAUCAUCCAAUUAUCUAGCGGCGACGAUAAAAAAGGUGGAUGCAUGUUCUAACCUAUUGGGAGUCCUGUACACCAUGUUACUGUGCCAGUGUGCCGCUAAGAGAAUGCCCGACUGUUGAACCUAUUUGUGAAGCACAAAAUGUUCGAAGGCGGUAUACUGACAUGUACACGCUUGGAUGGUGGAAGAAACAAGUUGCAGGUGUAUGGUGGUUGUACUUGGACUGGGGCAUAAAACAAGUUGGCAAGGGAGCAGUAUUCAGCGUGAGGCGAGACGGGAGGUAACGCCUUUUAUAUAGCUCGAGAGCACCGUGACUGACUCGGCUGUAGUUUUCACAAUUAUUUCGCCUUGCUGUCUGAUGUUAUGGAGCAAUAGAGUGUAUGUUUGAGAAGUAUAGGAAACAAUAGGAAUAGAGUGUAUGUUUGAGAAGUAUAGGAAACAAUAGGAUCGAGAGGCAUCAGGAAUUCACGUACAUCAGUUGUGACAGUCGGCUCAGCGUGGUUGAUGGCCUCAGCUGCAGCUGCGUCAGGUGUGACAGUCGGCUCAGCGUGGUCGAUGGCCUCAGCUGCAGGCGCGACGCGACUGAAGUAGUGCAGCGCAACGAUCUUGGGCAGCUAGCAAGUGACAAACUGACAAUGGACCAAUUGACCUGGUAUUUGGCUCAGGUGUGUGCUGAGCUUCAGAUCAACAUUGUGGAUAAAUAAAUCUAUAACAUCACAACCAGGAACCACAGCUUAAAGAUUUGGUCCACAUGGUUACUCUGAACAAUUUUCUUCAGCGUCUGCAUUAUGCUGGCUCCAUCGUUCAUUCAGUCAUUCAUCGCGUGCGCUUGCUGCUGUUUAGAGGGAAAAUUAAUAUUUGAUGGUCGCAUUGUUUCUUCAGUGUCAUAAGGUACUAUUUGCCACAUGAAAAGUCAGUAGAUGGUGGUCGCAUUGGACUGGAGCAUGGGAGAGAAUACGCUUGAGACGCACCAGGAAUUCUCCUAAUGCAUUCGAUCACUUUAGAUCCUCUGAGGAUAUAUUAGAUCUUCGCUUACAGCCCUGUUUCCAUUGUUGAUCACCAUGUCUUCAAUCAGUGUGGUGUGUAGCAAUACUUCCUCCUUCGCCAUGUACUCAUCUUUGUCUUGAUACUACGUACGUGGCAUGGCAGACUGUUUCUGGCAUCAAACGGAGCCUCUGUUUGGCCGAAAGGCCUGAA